AGAAGGGAAUUCCUGGUGUAGCGGUGGAAUGCGCAGAUAUCAGGAGGAACACCGAUGGCGAAGGCACUUCUCUGGGCCGUAACUGACGCUGAGGAGCGAAAGCGUGGGGAGCGAACAGGAUUAGAUACCCUGGUAGUCCACGCCGUAAACGGUGGGUGCUAGUUGUGGGUCACAUUCCACGUGAUCCGUGACGCAGCUAACGCAUUAAGCACCCCGCCUGGGGAGUACGGUCGCAAGACUAAAACUCAAAGGAAUUGACGGGGGCCCGCACAAGCGGCGGAGCAUGCGGAUUAAUUCGAUGCAACGCGAAGAACCUUACCAAGGCUUGACAUAUAGAGGAAAAGCGUAGAAAUACGCUCCCCGCAAGGUCUCUAUACAGGUGGUGCAUGGUUGUCGUCAGCUCGUGUCGUGAGAUGUUGGGUUAAGUCCCGCAACGAGCGCAACCCUCGUCCUAUGUUGCCAGCACGUAAUGGUGGGAACUCAUGGGAGACUGCCGGGGUCAACUCGGAGGAAGGUGGGGAUGACGUCAAAUCAUCAUGCCCCUUAUGUCUUGGGCUUCACGCAUGCUACAAUGGCCGGUACAGAGGGCUGCAAUACCGUAAGGUGGAGCGAAUCCCAAAAAGCCGGUCUCAGUUCGGAUUGAGGUCUGCAACUCGACCUCAUGAAGUCGGAGUCGCUAGUAAUCGCAGAUCAGCAACGCUGCGGUGAAUACGUUCCCGGGCCUUGUACACACCGCCCGUCAAGUCACGAAAGUCGGUAACACCCGAAGCCGGUGGCCUAACCGUA
rnacentral:rRNA from 1 species